UCUGCUCUCUUCUUCAAAAACCACAAAAACCUUAUCACCUUCUUCAAAAACCUACAACCUUAUCACCCUUUCCAACAUUUUCAAAACCCUAUCACCCUUGAAACAUCCCAGCCGCACCCCCCUUUCCCUCUCCCUCCCGUUUUCGAACUGGCGACCCACAGGGAGAAGCCGGAGACGACUGUGGUAGCCGGCCACCGUGAGUGGUGGUCCGGCGAAGGUAUGACGGUGGCGGCAUAGACUCGAUGGGUUAGAAAAAGUGAAAAUUUGGCCCAUCUUCAGCUGCAAAUGCUCUGAUGCUAGCUAUUGCCACCUCUUUUUUAUUGUUUUAUCUAUAGAUUUUUUUUUGUCAAAUAAUGCAAGAGACGUAAUGUUGGAGGAGCAAAUACAAAACCCAUAGGUAAAUACAUCCAAAACAGUCACGUGGAGUGACGAGGAUGUAUCUGCCACCUCACCACUCAUAAAUCUCCUCUCUAUAUAAAGCGAAGAGUAUCAACUGCAACCAAAUACAUACAAAGAAGAAGAUGGCUACAGAAAUUGUGGUACAGCUCCAACAUGCUUCCAUCGGUGAUUCCAAAGUGGCUAACCACAGCUGCUGCAAGAACGGACCCGGUUAUGCCACCCCGCUCGACGCCAUGGCUGGCCCCAAAGAGUCCCUCAUCUAUGUCACUUGUGUCUACACAGGUGCGGAAGCUCGAAUUAGCUCUUCUGAACUGGUGGUUGAGAAAGGGAUUAAAGCCGGCUAACCCAAGGCUUCUUCCAGACGCUUUGGGUUGCGUGAGAGAACCGCCACCUAUUUAAGGCAUGUUGUAAAAACUAGAAAAUGAGGUAUUGAAGUCCUUUUAUGUGGCGCAAGCCACCUACGUAUUAUUUAAUUAAUGAAAUCAUAUGUUUUGUACCCGUGUGCAAUUUAUCAAGUUUUAGAGCAUUCCCAUCCAGUCCAUCAUAUAUAGUGUGUGGGGUUUUUAAUAUAUAAAGAGUAUAAAAAGUGGUUGUGAGUGGAGGAGAGAGAAAAUAUUACUGUUCAUCUGUAUAUUUGGGGGGACACUGUUCACCCACUAUAAUUUUUUAAUAUAUAUUGAAAGUGGUUGUGAGUGAAAGAGAGAGAAAAAUGUAAUAUAUAUUUAAAAGGAGAGAGAAAAAGUAUUUGUUUUUAGUGAAAAUAUAUUGAUAUAGGAGUUGUUUUUUAGUGAAAUGUAUGUAUAUUUUUAGUGGAUUGGAUGUGAAUGCUCUUAGUUGUUGAUGGCUUGAGUCUUGGGUUACUUGGACUAGCAGGGCUGGCCCUAAAAAUUUGUGUGCCCUGUUCAAGCUCGAAAAAAUGUGCCCUUCGGCACUAUAAAUGUAAAGUAGUUUUUUAUAUAACUAUUCACGAAAUCAUAGUGUUCGCUCAGACCAAACAAAGAUACUACGGCCAUGUGUUUCGGGUUGCGGGUCGGUUCAACGAUUCGGGCCAAAUAAGGUUUAUCACAUAAUAAAAAACACAAUACAACAAGGAAAAAAUGAAAGUAGCAAACACAUUUCCUAUUUCUCUAAUAUCAUCUAUUUUAGAUUUAAAAUAAAAAACCCUUCAAAAGGGGAAAAGGGGAACUUAACCACUAUAACAGCAAAAAAAUAUAAUAGCAAGCAGGCCUCGAACUGCGAUCUCAAGUUUGGAAAAGGGGAGCUUAACCACUAAGCUAUUCAUCUAAUUAUAUUAGAAUGCUCUUAAAAAAAAUUAUAACAUAUAUAAGUUUUUUUUUUUUUUAAAACGUGCCCUUCGGAAUCUCGGACCCUGGCCGGUGGUCCUCCCCGCCCACCUCCAGGGCCGCCCCUGUGGACUAGCUUGAUGUUAAGUAACUUUUACCAUCCGAGAAAGGCUAUGUAAAACACCCAAUCUUUAGGUCGUAACAUUCCCAGUUUAAUUGAAGGUCCUCGAACCAGCUAUCUAUGUAAAAGACCCAAUUAUAGGUCCUAAAAAGAUUGUUGCUUUAAUUACUCAGUCAAACCGGGUCAGAUUCAGAGUUGCUCGGGUCAAGCUUCGGCUCGGUCUCGGUUCGGGUCUUGCGGUUCGGUAGCGAGUUAUUAUUACGUUAGUUUAGAUUUUAUUUAGUUAACGCGCACCGAGCUCGAACCGAUACUUUAGUGACUUGUUACGUUUGGCAUUUUGAUAGAAAUUUUAUAUAUUGUGUUUAUAUUGUUGA